rnacentral:rRNA from 1 species
AACGAACGCUGGCGGCGUGGCUAAGACAUGCAAGUCGAACGGACCAUAUGAUUGAGUAAUCGAGAUUAUGGUUAGUGGCGUAAGGGUGAGGAACGAAUAGGUAACGUACCCCGAAGUCCGGGAUAGCGUCUGAAUGCUUCGGCAUUCUUCCGAAAGGGGCGGUAAUACCGGAUGUUAUCAUCGCAUUUGAGUGCGGUGAUCAAAGAUUUAUCGCUUUGGGAGCGGCCUAUUUCCUAUCAGCUUGUUGGUGAGGUAACGGCUCACCAAGGCUACGACGGGUAGCGGGACUGAGAGGUUGGCCCGCCACAUCGGGACUGAGACACUGCCCGGACCUCCACGGAGGGCUGCAGUAACGAAUAUUGUGCAAUGAGCGAAAGCUUGACACAGCGACGCCGCGUGUAGGAUGAAACCUUUCGGGGUGUAAACUACUGUCAGGGGUUAGAAAGUGCGCUUCGGCGCAU